GCUGCCUCCAGUCUCUGGGUAGGAGUCAACAGGGUGGGGCGCUCGGGCUAUUCCAGCAGUGUCUGAGCUCGGCAGACUCGCUGGGUUUUUCCGGGGCGCUGCGAGAAGCGGAGGCUGCGAGCCGAUAAAGGAAGAAACAUGAAUGGGAGCAAAAUGAAUUGUGUCCUCCUCACUGUCUUCUUCAUUCUGGCUCUGUUUUGCAGUUCUGGUUAUAUGCUGGAUUGUUACAACUGUUCACUUACUGUUGGGCCAUGUAAGACAAAUAUUACCUGUGCAAGUGGCCUUGAUUCUUGCUUGCGGCUUAAAAUUGGUAUGUUUACAAUCCCAAAUUU